UACGUAGGUGGCGAGCGUUGUCCGGAUUUACUGGGCGUAAAGGGGGCGUAGGCGGACUUUUAAGUGAGAUGUGAAAUACUCGGGCUCAACUUGAGUGCUGCAUUUCAAACUGGAAGCCUAGAGUGCAGGAGAGGAGAAUGGAAUUCCUAGUGUAGCGGUGAAAUGCGUAGAGAUUAGGAAGAACACCAGUGGCGAAGGCGAUUCUCUGGACUGUAACUGACGCUGAGGCUCGAAAGCGUGGGGAGCAAACAGG
rnacentral:rRNA from 1 species